rnacentral:lncRNA from 1 species
CCACACACAAAAAAAGAACUCAUGUUCAGAUUAUAUGUAGAACUACAACUCACACAAAAUAUCCAAUAUAAUUAUGGGCAAGGGUAUGAAUUCCUCAAGGGAGAUAACAAAUGGCCAAUAAAACACAUGAAAAUAUGCUUAACAUCACUGGCCACCAGGGAAGUACAAAUCAAAAUCAUGAAAUAGCACCUCACACCUACUAAGAUAACCACUAUACAAAUUGUUUCAAAAGAAGAAGCCAAGUAUUGGCAAGGAUAAGGAAAAAUAGGAAUCCUUGCGAGUUGCUGGUGGGCACGUGAAACAGUGCAGCCACCGUGGAAAGCUGCCUGGUGGCUCCUCAAGAACUGACGGAACUGCCGCGUGACCCAGCAAUCUCACUUGCUCGUAUAUUCCCUAAGAAGCGAGAGCGGAACACUGACACUCAUGUUCACAGAUGUGUUACUCAACAGAGGAGAGGCAGGAAUGAGAAGGGCCCAAGUGUCCACCCACAGGUGGAUGGGUUCCUGUACCACGGAACCAUGUUCUCACACCUGCUGCAACAGGGACAAACCCUGAAAAUACCCUGAGAUCAGCCAGAUACAGAGGACACCUGCUGUCAGGUCGACUUGCAUGAGAACAGUGAGCUUCAAAGGAAGGUAGAGCAGGGUCUACCCAGCAGUGGAGGGCAGAAAGGAGAAGUGGAAUUAUUACCUCCCAGGUCGAGUGGCCGUUCUGUUAGCUUCUUGAGGAGCCACCAGGCAGCUUUCCACCGCAGCUGCACAGUUUGGGAUGAUGAAAACCUUGUGGAGAUGGAUAGGGGUGAUGGUUGCUGCUGAGAGGGUAGAUGUUGUUGUAUAUGCUUUAGCGCGCACACACACACACACGCACCACACACCACACACACCAGACACACACACACCAGACACACACACACACCAGACACACACACACACACACACACACAUUUCUGAAAAAAAAAAAAAAGAUCUUUCUUAGACUCUGGUCUCAAGAAUGUCUGGAUGAGAUGAGGUCUGUACAAGUAAAAUGCCCCUCUUGGUUACCCCUGCCCAGAUGGCCCACAGGGUUCCUUCUGAGGACUCCUGCUCAGGGCAAAUGGGUCAUGGGCCAUGUCAGGUUUCACUUUCAGCAUUUUCUGUAAUAAUUUCAAAGCAGGGAGAGAAACCUGUCCUGGGGAAGGUUUAGCUGAACUUGAUCUUCUAUUUCUGGGCCACUGAAGCAGGCAGGAGCUCUCUCUCUCUCUCCCUUGGCAAGCAUGAUACAUGCUUAUUGUUGAUAAUUUUGCAAACAUGGAACAGCACCCAUGAAAUAAUACUCAAGGCAUAUCAUCACUCAGAGAAAGCACAGGGGUCACGGGGGUGCAUUUGUGGAGCUUCCCCUUCUACUCAUGAUGCACCCUGAAUCCUUGUGGCCAUAAGUGGUGUUCCGGGUGGUGAAGACCCCCCCCCCCAUCAUCAUGAAGUGUCUCAGCAUACUUCAGUGAUUGCCAAGCCAGACGUUGUGCAGAUUCACCUUCUUUGCCCAAUUCUGUGUCGUGGGCCACCCAGGUGAUGUUCAGGUGUGCUGGGAUGAACAUCUCCUGUAUACCUCUCACAAACCCCUCAGGUCACCUGGGAGAGUCUCUGACUCCAUGGAGGGCUGGCUCUUUAAGGCUCUAGAAUAUUAUCAGUUGGCCCUUCAGGAGGGCAGACAGACUGGUCUAGUACCAACAGCAUGUGGGAGUGCUUUUUAUCUAGAGGUGUCUUAUUCUACCUGGCUGGAGACCUGCUACAGCAGGAACUAACUGUGAGGACAUGAGCCCAAGCCUGGGGCCUUUGGUCCACUGUGGACUCCUGUCUUUUCCCCUUUGCUGAGCAAUCCCAAGACAGUGGGCUCCGAGUUCUGCAGGACCCCGGUUCUCUGACUCUGAGGAAGGCUGGACUCCUGGGUGUCCCCAGGGGCCGCUGAGUGCUGCUAGCUCCUGGCUUGCUGUAGGGCUGGGCCUGCCUAGGGCGGGCCGUGGGGAAUGCCUUCCAGUCUCCCCCAGGCCUACGAGCUCUUCACUCUCACCUGCAGGGCAGUGUCCACUGUUGCAGGGGCAGCAACGUUGGACACAUCUUUGCUGUGAAACUGGAUCCCUAAGAAGAGGACAUAUGAGCAUCAGCCCCUAAAGCCCACCUUCAGGAUCCCCAGAGGGAGGGGGCUCUUGCACGACACCCCAGUGUUUGGCGUGUGUGGUUCUAAAAAUAAAGUUAGUUUCUUUUGACAAGUGACUCCUGAUUGUGCCCAGCCAGACUGCGGCACAACACAAUUGGCCAGUGACACAGGGGCUCUACACCAAAUCUGGGGCUGACCUGAGGCACCCUCUGUCCAUUCUGACCAAUCGCAAGGAAGGCCAGGCACAAUGGAGACACACGGUGCUGUCUGUCCCUCCAAGCCCCCUGUCAUUCAGCCCCCCCCCCCCAGGCCACAGAGGUCCUCCACUGGCCUCCCUAACAGUGGGACCGGCAGCAGGUUGGCCCCGCCUCCCUCCAGCCUUCCACCUCCCACCAUUCCCCAGCGCUGGCCACCAACUUUCCCCAACACACCAUCCUCAGGCCAGAGAGAGCUGCCUGCCUUCUCCUACAUGCUGGUCCCUCUGAAGGGGAAGCUCAGAGCUGCUCCUCUAUUUAUUCCUCCUGUGAAAAACAGCUGCUGUGGCUGCUGGCUCAGGACACCACCUCCUCCGGGAAGCUCUCCAGGAUGGAUCCCUCAGCGCUGAAGAGCUGUUGCCCUGGCGCUGGAUCUCCCUGCCUUCUGGUACAAGGUCCACGUCUUUGUCUUGAGCCUCGUUGGGCUUGAGUUGCCUGAGAGUAAGGACUGUGUCUCAGUAUCCUCAAGGCCCCAAGAGGGUGUCGAGUCGCUGUAUCACGAGGAGCAAGUCCAGGACGGCAGUCUGAGAGCAAGCUGCUGAGCACUGAGGAGUGGAGCAAUGCCAGUCAGAGGCGAGUUCACACCAUCGGGUGCAGACAGGGCAGCUUCAGCUUCACCCUUGACAAGAGGGACUAGAAGGCAAAAGGAAGCCGGAACGAGAUACAAAUGCAUGUCGCCGAGAGAAACUGCUUCCCUGCGUCUCCUUGCCAUUAAUUGGCUGUGCGACCUUGUGAGAGUGGCCUCGCUCUCUCUGGGCCUCAGGUCUCUCUUCAUGCUGAGCUGCCCUCGGUGAGGCUGGGCACAGGAUUUCAUUACAAUUCCUGAUGGUGCCCACCAUCCUCAUCAGCAAAACAUGCACAGCGCAGCCUGUCCUUGGAAGGGAGGAUGAGGUUCCCGUAGAACAUUCUAUAAGCCUCUGUGCAGGCUCCCAGCUGCCACCGGCUAUGCAUCUCCUCCUUGUGGGUGGCCAGAGCUCAAUGGUGCUUGCCCACCACACACUGGAUUCAAUCCCUGGUACACACAGACACACACACACACACACAAAAUAAUAAUAAUAAUAAUAAUAAUAAUAAUAAUAAAGAAAGAAAAAGAAAAAAGAAUGAAAAGAAAAGAAAACUAAUUUCCUAAAGCCUCAAUGUGGAAAAAUAAGAUUUGGCAAUUUUCUGUAGGUCUGCAAUCUUUUCUUUGAAAUUUGGCCAGCCUGUGGAUUCCAGAUGUCCAAGAACUGCUGUCAACAUUCUCCCUCCUGAGGUUGCUAGGGAAAGUCACUGGGUCACUACUCCCUGCUUAGAGCCUGGCGUGCAUCCCUUGCCUCUACACCUCCUGUCGGACACCUUGGUGGGGUACCAGGUGCUGGUUUGCAGCUAGUACAGAAACACAGCUCCUGGCCUCUCCAGAGGCUCAGGGUUGGGGACAGUCCUGGGACACAGUGGAGCCCAGAGGCUCAGUGGGGCCCUCCCAAGAAAGGCCUGCUUCCUGGAUGAGUGAGUCUCUUUCCAAGCACUGGUAAUGCCAAAGACAGUGGCCUGUCCCCAUUGCCCACAGAAUAAGCCACCGUGGCUAGCACCGGCUUCUCCAAUUAUGAAAUUAAUUAAUAUAUCCUGAGUGCUACUGUACCGUGGGAAUUCAGAGGUUCCUGCCCGAGAAGGGAGCCCAGGUUAGGUGAAUGAUCCUGACUUGAGUGACCAGAGUGGGCGGUGCUAUCAGAGAAUAGCUCCCAGCGCUAAAGGCUGUGUCAAAGCAUCUCCAGGACAAGCCCAGGUGUAUCCUUGUGUCUGGGUCACCAGGCUGGAGGCGGUGCUGGGAGACACAGCCAGUUCCAGAAGUGCUUCUGGAGGCCACCGCCGGCAGCCUGCCUCACAGUUCAGGGGACUGAGGCUGGAGAAGCCGGCGGGUCCCAGGAGUGCUGUCAGAGCCCUGGGGCUCCCUGCCCAACCUCUUUCCUGUCCCGCACCGUGGGUCCGCCGUUCUCAGGGCCACGCAGCACUCUUGGCAGAUGGAGAGGGCUCCUGCAGGAGGCUGGAGGUGGAGUGGGGUGGAGGGCACCUGGCGGCGAGAGUUGUGGGGGGCUCCUGGCAGCAGUGGGAGGGGCCCUGGCAGGGGACGCGAGGGGCUCCGGGCCGGGCCGCCCGCCCAGUCGCGCUGCCAGGCUGAUUAGCAUGGGCGAGGGGCGCUGGCGCGGGGGCGCCGCCGGCCGAGCUGGCACGUCCUCCGCGGGCCCAGCUGUCCAGGCCGAGACACAAAGCGCCUCAGACGGCGGCGGCGCUCGGCCAUUCACGCGCAGGGGCGGCCGGGCGCGGGCGGAGAGGAGUUCCCGCCGCCGGGGCGAAGAAUAGCGCCUGGGCCGGGCGGGGCUUGGCCGCCCCGCGCUCCUGACCUUGAACCUUUGUGACUGGAGCGCAUGCAAAUCGCGGCGGGGCUGCGCCAAGCCCCGAGGGCGCUGCGCCGCCCGGGGUGUCCCGGCGAACAAUGCGCCACUGUCCCCGCGCCGCGCCGCGGGCUGGGAACGGCGCGGGCACGCACCGGCGGCGCGGCGCGGAAUGCCAAUGCCGAGCCGCAGGCGUGGUGCACGGCGAGUGUGCACGCGCGUGUGCGUGUGCACGUGGUGGUGCGGGGUCUCGGCUCACCCUCCUUGCGCGCCGCGCAUCGCGCUCGGGCGCACCUUCCGCGGAUGCGGGGUCCACGGGAUCUCAGACUCUAGGUGCAUGCCCCCAUCUCCUGCCCUUCCUGCCCUACGUUAGAUUGAUUUUUAAGCCCUUUAGAUCAUCAGUAACAAAAUUAAGGCUGCCCAGAUCCCUGCCUUACCCUGAGCGAGCUACGCCCCCUGGGACGCGCCCACGGCCUGUCUUCUUGAGGUGAAUGCAGGCCAGCAUCUCCACUUUUUCAAAGGGACUGACAUUUGUUAGUAACCCCCUUCACCAAUGUCCCCUUUAAAGGCUGCACAGGAUUGGUCUCUGUGGUUGUGCCAUGGCUCCUGCCACCAGUGUUCCCCAUUAUAGGGACAACAGCUUGUCCACAGAGUCGUCUCAAUCCCACAAGUGCUGUUCAAAGAGAAAAGACAGGGCCUGACCAGGAGUUGCUAUAGUGAGCUCAGAAGGUUGUGCCAGGCCCAGACGUGGGCACUGCAGCAUCUGCCCUUACCAGCCCAGAGACUGACUCGGUCAUGUGACCAGCUAGACAAGAAACAGCAAGCAAAUGGCCAGGGUGGAGGCUUCCCCUGGUGCUUCUGCACACGUGUCUCACCUAGGUGAUUCUAGCACGUUCCAUUCAUUUGAAUUGGACACACUGUGAGAGGACACAGAGCCACAGCAGAGUCAGACUUCCCAACCCUGCAGCGACAGGUGCCUUGCCACUUCCUCCUUAACGAGCAGACGGAUACGAAUGAUGGGAACAUGAGUUUAAGAGAAUAAUUCUAUAAAAUGGGCCCACAGGGCUCACUCCCUCCACUCUCGCUUCCAAGAAGCAAUUUACCUGCAGCCCUACCUGGCCUCAUUGGACAGGAUACGUCACAUUCCUCAGCAAACUACCUUUCACUGUAGGAGAAAUGCAGGCCCCAAAUAAUGUUGAUAAAAGGAACUUGAGUUAUACCCUGAAGGAGGAGACUUUUGUGACCAAAUCUCAACAUUCUGGUAGAUAAGGAUAGUUUCUCCUAAACCAUAAAAGCUGUAAGAAUCUAUGGUUAAGAAUCCAGUUAGAACCAGUCAGCAGGGGUCAAGGUGAUCUAGAGUUGCCAUGACAGUGGGGACUUGAAAAUGUGAUGNUCCACUGUUGCAGGGGCAGCAACGUUGGACACAUCUUUGCUGUGAAACUGGAUCCCUAAGAAGAGGACAUAUGAGCAUCAGCCCCUAAAGCCCACCUUCAGGAUCCCCAGAGGGAGGGGGCUCUUGCACGACACCCCAGUGUUUGGCGUGUGUGGUUCUAAAAAUAAAGUUAGUUUCUUUUGACAAGUGACUCCUGAUUGUGCCCAGCCAGACUGCGGCACAACACAAUUGGCCAGUGACACAGGGGCUCUACACCAAAUCUGGGGCUGACCUGAGGCACCCUCUGUCCAUUCUGACCAAUCGCAAGGAAGGCCAGGCACAAUGGAGACACACGGUGCUGUC